GGUGCAAGCGUUACUCGGAAUCACUGGGCGUAAAGGGUGCGUAGGCUGGCUUNUAAGUCAGAUGUGAAAUCCAAUGGCUCAACCCAUUGAACUGCAUUUGAAACUGGGAGCCUAGAGUUCAGAAGGGGCAGAUGNAAUUAGUGGUGUAGGGGUAAAAUCCGUAGAUAUCACUAGGAAUAUCAAAAGCGAAGGCGAUCUGCUGGGAUGAUACUGACGCUGAGGCACGAAAGCGUGGGGAGCAAACAGGAUUAGAUACCCUGGUAGUCCACGCCCUAAACGAUGAAUGCUAGUCGUCGGGGAGCUCGUCUCUUCGGUGAUGCACUUAACAGAUUAAGCAUUCCGCCUGGGGAGUACGGUCGCAAGAUUAAAACUCAAAGGAAUAGACGGGGACCCGCACAAGUGGUGGAGCAUGUGGUUUAAUUCGAAGAUACACGAAGAACCUUACCUGGCCUUGACAUGGUAGGAACCCUUAAGAGAUUAGGGGGUGCUAGCUUGCUAGAACCUACACACAGGUGCUGCACGGCUGUCGUCAGCUCGUGUCGUGAGAUGUUGGGUUAAGUCCCGCAACGAGCGCAACCCUCGUCCUUAGUUGCUAACAGUUUGGCUGAGCACUCUAGGGAGACUGCCUUCGUAAGGAGGAGGAAGGUGAGGACGACGUCAAGUCAUCAUGGCCCUUACGGCCAGGGCUACACACGUGCUACAAUGGGGCGUACAGAGAGCUGCAAUACCGCGAGGUGGAGCCAAUCUCUUAAAGCGUCUCUCAGUUCGGAUUGUUCUCUGCAACUCGAGAACAUGAAGCUGGAAUCACUAGUAAUCGCAGAUCAGCUAUGCUGCGGUGAAUACGUUCCCGGGUCUUGUACUCACCGCCCGUCACACCAUGGGAGUUGAUUUCACCCGAAAUCGGGAUGCCAAACUGGCUACCGCUUGCGGUGGAAUUAGCGACUGGGGUGAAGUCGUAACAAGGUAACC
rnacentral:rRNA from 1 species